GUGCUUGCUUUGGCAGCACAUAUACUAAAAUUGGAAUGAAGAUUAGCAUGGUGCCUGUGCAAGGAUGACACGCAAAUUCGUGAAGCAUUCCAUAUUUUU
rnacentral:snRNA from 1 species